CAGACGGCUCUGAGGGGAGAGGAGAUAACACACUCUCUCACUCUCGGCCACAGCACAGAUCUCGACACAGUGAGGAAGAUGCUCGUCUACAUCGGAGGAGCAUCCAGGACCGGACGAUAGGACACCGAGGACCGCACACCGAGAGGAAGAGGAGGGUGGAGGGGGAGGAGGAGGAAGGGCAAAAACAGGGUCGGGGAGAGAGGCGACAACGGCAGGUUUAUUCUGUGGCUUUAACAAGAAAAGAAGAGCAGCUCGUCUUCCUCUCAUCCUCCCACCAGGUCAUCGUCUCUCGAGGCCAUGAGCCAGACGAAGAAAGGCGAGCUCUCCCGCCGGGACAAAGCCACGCUGCACCAGCAGCGGCGCCUGAAGCAGGCCACCCAGUUCUCCCACAAGGACUCGGCUGACCUGCUGCCCCUGGACGGGCUCAAGAGGCUGGGCACCUCCAGGGACCUGCAGCCUCACAGCAUCGUGCAGCGCCGCCUGCUGGAGGGGAACAUCACGCGGCUGCGAGGGGAGGCGGCCCGCGACGCCAACGACAGGGUCCGCUCCCCGCUGACCGACCCCAAGGACGGCGAGGAGGGCAGCGAGAGCACCGCCGACGACUCGGCGGAGGAGAGGGAGUCCCUGGAGGAGAGCGAGAGGAGCCUGCGCUCCGAUGAAGAGGAGGACGACGAAGCCGGGGCCAGACCCGAGAAGACGGAGAGCUCCGCCCCCCUCGCGGCUCUGGUGGUUCAAUGCAAGUGCUGCGAGACUGAAGUCAAAGCGUCCAUCAACACCGGCAGCCAACACAACCACAUCUCCAGCUCCUGCUGCCAGAGGCUGGGACUGGUUCCCGUCCAGGACAGUUCCCCGUGCGGUGGCAGCAGCUCGGUGCCGGGUCUGCGGCUGCAGCUGGGCCGACAGACGGUCCAGUGCUCAGCUUUUGUCCGAGGUAGGAGCCACACUGAAUAUAUAUGAGUGUGUGUGUGUGUGUGUGUGUAUGUGUCACUAUUUGUCUCCAACACAACUCAAAACACCGACGCCACGGAACGAGGUCGAGGGGCCGAUGAAGCUGAGAAGAUAUUAUUAUUAAGACUCAUACCGAGGAAGACGAAGAUGGAACCAAAUGUCAAGGCUCUUCAGACGUCAUCACAAAAACUACAACCGUGAAGGUCGCGGUGGAGCUGGAGGGAAAUGUGAAGUGGAGGAAUGUGAAUUCACCUGGCGCGUCGUCUCUUUGGAGGAUCCGUUAAAAAUAGAUCCAGAGUGGGACAGGACGAGGCCGUGGAGCUGAGUCUGGGACUUCAGACUCUGCUGGAGCUCAAAUGCCGCCUGGACCUGAGCAGCCGGGUGCUGAAGCUGC